GGCGCAGUCGUCUAAUGGUCAGGACACCUUUCUCUCAAAAAGAAAACAGGGGUUCAAUUCCCCUCUGUGUCA
rnacentral:tRNA from 1 species